rnacentral:rRNA from 1 species
AUUGAACGCUGGCGGCAUGCCUUACACAUGCCAGUCGAACGGCAGCACGGGUGCUUGCACCUGGUGGCGAGUGGCGAACGGGUGAGUAAUACAUCGGAACAUGUCCUGUCGUGGGGGAUAGCCCGGCGAAAGCCGGAUUACUACCGCCUACGAUCUACGGCUGAAAGCGGGGGACCUUCGGGCCUCGCGCUAUAGGGUUGGCCGAUGGCUGAUUAGCUAGUUGGUGGGGUAAAGGCCUACCAAGGCGACGAUCAGUAGCUGGUCUGAGAGGACGACCAGACACACUGGGACUGAGACACGGCCCAGACUCCUACGGGAGGCAGCAGUGGGGAAUUUUGGACAAUGGGCGAAAGCCUGAUCCAGCAAUGCCGCGUGUGUGAAGAAGGCCUUCGGGUUGGAAAGCACUUUUGUCCGGAAAGAAAUCCUUGGCCCUAAUACGGGCGGGGGAUGACGGUACCGGAAGAAUAAGCACCGGCUAACUACGUG